GGCGCAGGCGGCUAAGUCAGUCUGGAGUGGAAUCCCGGGGCUCAACCCCGGAAUUGCUCUGGAUACUGCUUAGCUUGAGUAUGUGAGAGGAGAGUGGAAUUCCUGGUGUAGCGGUGAAAUGCGUAGAUAUCAGGAGGAACACCCAUGGCGAAAGCAACUCUCUGGCACAUCACUGCGCUGAGGCCCGAAAGCGUGGGGAGCGAACA
rnacentral:rRNA from 1 species